rnacentral:rRNA from 1 species
AGCGAACGCUGGCGGCGGGCCUAACACAUGCAAGUCGAGCGAGACUCUCCGGAGUCUAGCGGCGGACGGGUGAGUAACACGUGGGCAACCUGCCUGUAAGACUGGGAUAACACCGGGAAACCGGUGCUAAUACCGGAUAAUCCUUUUCUUCUCAUGAGGAAAAGCUGAAAGUCGGUUUCGGCUGACACUUACAGAUGGGCCCGCGGCGCAUUAGCUAGUUGGUGAGGUAACGGCUCACCAAGGCGACGAUGCGUAGCCGACCUGAGAGGGUGAGCGGCCACACUGGGACUGAGACACGGCCCAGACUCCUACGGGAGGCAGCAGUAGGGAAUCUUCCACAAUGGACGAAAGUCUGAUGGAGCAACGCCGCGUGAGCGAUGAAGGCCUUCGGGUCGUAAAGCUCUGUUGUUAGGGAAGAACCGCCGGGAUCACCUCCCGGUCUGACGGUACCUGAGGAGGAAGCCACGGCUAACUACGUGCCAGCCGCCGCGGUAAAAC